rnacentral:rRNA from 1 species
UACGUAGGGUGCGAGCGUUAAUCGGAAUUACUGGGCGUAAAGUGUGCGCAGGCGGCCGAGCAAGUCGAGUGUGAAAGCCCCGGGCUUAACUUGGGAAUUGCGCUCGAAACUACUUUGCUGGAGUGUGGCAGAGGAAGGUGGAAUUCCACGUGUAGCGGUGAAAUGCGCAGAUAUCAGGAGGAACACCAAUGGCGAAGGCAGCUCGCUGGGACGGUACUGACGCUGAGACGCGAAAGCGUGGGGAGCAAACAGG